rnacentral:rRNA from 1 species
GACGAACGCUGGCGGCGUGCUUAACACAUGCAAGUCGAACGGAAAGGCCCUGCUUUUGUGGGGUGCUCGAGUGGCGAACGGGUGAGUAACACGUGAGUAACCUGCCCUUGACUUUGGGAUAACUUCAGGAAACUGGGGCUAAUACCGGAUAGGAGCUCCUGCUGCAUGGUGGGGGUUGGAAAGUUUCGGCGGUUGGGGAUGGACUCGCGGCUUAUCAGCUUGUUGGUGGGGUAGUGGCUUACCAAGGCUUUGACGGGUAGCCGGCCUGAGAGGGUGACCGGCCCCAUUGGGACUGAGAUACGGCCCAGACUCCUACGGGAGGCAGCAGUGGGGAAUAUUGCACAAUGGGCGGACGCCUGAUGCAGCAACGCCGCGUGCGGGAUGACGGCCUUCGGGUUGUAAACCGCUUUCGCCUGUGACGAAGCGUGAGUGACGGUAAUGGGUAAAGAAGCACCGGCUAACUACGUG